GAUGAACGCUAGCGGCAGGCUUAAUACAUGCAAGUCGAGGGGCAGCAUGAGUGUAGCAAUACAUUUGAUGGCGAUCGGCAAACGGGUGCGGAACACGUACACAACCUUCCUAUAAGUGGGGAACAGCCCAGAGCAACUUGGAUUAAUACCCCGGAACAUAAUGAUGUGGCAUCACAUUAUUAUUAUAGCUACGGCGAGUAUUGAUGGGUGUGCGGCUGAUUAGAUAGGGGGCGGGGUAACGGCCCACCAAGUCUACGAUCAGUAGCUCAUGUGAGAGCAUGUGCAGCCACACGGGCACUGAGACACGGGCCCGACUCCUACUGGAGGCAGCAUUAAUGAAUCUUGGUCAAUUGACGCAAGUCUGAACCAGCCAUGCCGCGUGAAGGAUUAAGGUCCUCUGGAUUGUAAACUUCUUUUAUCUGGGACGAAAAAAGGCUAUUCUUAGUCACUUGACGGUACCAGAUGAAUAAGCACCGGCUAACUCCGUGCCAGCCGCCGCGGUAAGAC
rnacentral:rRNA from 1 species